AAAGAUUAAGCCAUGCAUGUCUAAGUACAAACCUUCUUUAGCGUGAAACCGCAAACGGCUCAUUAAAUCAGUCAUAAUUUAUUGGACGCAGUCUAUCCUUUCUCGGAUAACUGUGGCAAUUCUAGAGCUAAUACGUGCAUUAAGCUUUGACGCCGGUGGACUCGUUUCCAUCGGGGGAGGAGCGCAGUUAUUAGAAUCAUAAACCGAGGCGAACUCACGAGUUCGAAUGCUUUCGGUUAUGAUGACUCUGGAUAACUUUGCCGAGCGUUUAGGCCUCAGAGCCGGCGCCGCAUCUUUCGAGUGACUGCCCUAUCAGCUUUCGAUUGUAGGAUAUUGGCCUACGAUGGCUGUUACGGGUAACGGGGAAUCAGGGUUCGAUUCCGGAGAGGGAGCCUGAGAAACGGCUACCACAUCUAAGGAAGGCAGCAGGCACGCAAAUUACCCACUCCCGGCACGGGGAGGUAGUGACGAUAAAUACCGAUGCGGGACUCAUCCGAGGCCUCGCAAUCGGAAUGAGAUCACUUUAAAACGGUGGUCGAGGAUCGAUUGGAGGGCAAGUCUGGUGCCAGCAGCCGCGGUAAUUCCAGCUCCAAUAGCGUAUAUUAAAGUGUUGGCGGGUUAANNNNNNNNNNNNNNNNNNNNNNNNGCUCAAAGCAGGCCAAAACCUUUAACGCCUGAAUAUUAAUGCAUUGAAUGAUGGAACAGGACCUCGGUUCACCUUUUUUUCUUCUCGGUUUUUCCCGAACCCGAGGUAAUGAUUAAAAGGAACGGUCGGGGGCAUUAGUACUGCGACGCGAGGGGUGAAAUCCAUUGACCGUCGCAAGACUACCUACUGCGAAAGCAUUUGCCAAGAACGCUUUCAUUAAUCAAGAACGAAAGUUAGAGGAUCGAAGGCGAUCAGAUACCGCCCUAGUUCUAACCGUAAACUAUGCCAACUAGCGAUCCGCGUACAGUCAUUCCCAAGACUGCGCGGGAAGCUCCCGGGAAACCGAAGUUUUUGGGUUCCGGGGGUAGUAUGGUUGCAAAGCUGAAACUUAAAGGAAUUGACGGAAGGGCACCACCAGGAGUGGAGCCUGCGGCUUAAUUUGACUCAACACGGGAAACCUUACCAGGCCCGGACACCGGAAGGAUUGACAGAUUGAGAGCUCUUUCUCGAUUCGGUGGUUGGUGGUGCAUGGCCGUUCUUAGUUGGUGGAGCGAUUUGUCUGGUUAAUUCCGAUAACGAACAAGACUCUGUCCUACUAACUAGUCGGGGGAUCGUUUCCCGAGACGGGUUUCUCCCUCCAGGCGUUCGGUGAAAGCGGCUCGGUGGACUCCAUUAUACCGCUUCUCCUCGUGGUUCGCGCGUUGUCGCGUUGCGUUGCGCCUGCCCCACGGCGACGGAUUCGUCCGGCGAAGUGGGGUUGGGUCGCGCGUUAGCGCGCUCUCGCGUUCUUUCGAGGGAAACGGGGUGGUGUACAAGCCGGGUGUCUUGCCACCGUCGCCGAAGAGGGGAUCCUAACGAGGGGCGUCUUUCGUAAAUCUUCUUAGAGGGACCCACGGUCUCGAACCGUACGAGAAAGAGCAAUAACAGGUCUGUGAUGCCCUUAGAUGUCCUGGGCCGCACGCGUGCUACAAUGGAGGGAGCAGCGUGCUUUCCCCCUCCGAGAGGAGUGGGUAACCCCAUGAAACCCCUUCCCGAUUGGGAUUGGGGGUUGCAAUGGUUGCCCAUGAACGAGGAAUCCCUUGUAAGCGCGAGUCAUAAGCUCGCGAUGAAUACGUCCCUGCCCUUUGUACACACCGCCCGUCGCUACUACCGAUGAAUGAUUAAGUGAGAGCGUCGAACCAGCGCCCUCGGCAGCCCUCGGUCGGUUCGCCGAUGGAGUUAGCGCCUCGGGCAAGCUGGAAAGACGUCCGAACUUGAUUAUUUAGAGGAAGUAAAAGUCGUAACAAGGUUUCCGUAGGUGAACCUGGGGAAAGGAUCAA
rnacentral:rRNA from 1 species